rnacentral:rRNA from 2 species
UAACGACUCUCGGCAACGGAUAUCUCGGCUCUCGCAUCGAUGAAGAACGUAGCGAAAUGCGAUACUUGGUGUGAAUUGCAGAAUCCCGUGAACCAUCGAGUCUUUGAACGCAAGUUGCGCCCCAAGCCUUUUUAGGCCGAGGGCACGUCUGCCUGGGUGUCACG